CCUACGGGAGGCAACAGUCGAGAAUCAUUCACAAUGGGGGAAACCCUGAUGGUGCGACGCCGCGUGGGGGAAUGAAGGUCUUCGGAUUGUAAACCCCUGUCAUGUGGGAGCAAAUUAAAAAGAUAGUACCACAAGAGGAAGAGACAGCUAACUCUGUGCCAGCAGCCGCGGUAAUACAGAGGUCUCAAGCGUUGUUCGGAAUCACUGGGCGUAAAGCGUGCGUAGGCUGUUUCGUAAGUCGUGUGUGAAAGGCGCGGGCUCAACCCGCGGACGGCACAUGAUACUGCGAGACGAGAGGAAUGGAGGGGGAACCGGAAUUCUCGGUGUAGCAGUGAAAUGCGUAGAUAUCGAGAGGAACACUCGUGGCGAAGGCGGGUUCCUGGACAUUAACUGACGCUGAGGCACGAAGGCCAGGGGAGCGAAAGGGAUUAGAUACCCGAGUAGUC
rnacentral:rRNA from 1 species